CCUACGGGUGGCAGCAGUGGGGAAUAUUGGACAAUGGGCGAAAGCCUGAUCCAGCCAUGCCGCGUGUGUGAAGAAGGCCUUCGGGUUGUAAAGCACUUUCAGUGGGGAAGAAAGCCUUGGGGCUAAUACCCUCGAGGAAGGACAUCACCCACAGAAGAAGCACCGGCUAACUCCGUGCCAACAGCCGCGGUAAUACGGAGGGUGCGAGCGUUAAUCGGAAUUACUGGGCGUAAAGCGCGCGUAGGCGGUCUGAUAAGCCGGUUGUGAAAGCCCCGGGCUCAACCUGGGAACGGCAUCCGGAACUGUCAGGCUAGAGUGCAGGAGAGGAAGGUUGAAUUCCCGGUGUAGCGGUGAAAUGCGUAGAGAUCGGGAGGAAUACCAGUGGCGAAGGCGGCCUUCUGGACUGACACUGACGCUGAGGUGCGAAAGCGUGGGUAGCAAACAGGAUUAGAUACCCCGGUAGUC
rnacentral:rRNA from 1 species